AUUAGUCCUUGUGGCGCAUCUUGAAUUCUUGAUCUGUGGAUUGAUGGAUGCUAACAGGUGGUCCGCUGAUUUUCAUUCAUUUGAGGUUAAUUUACGAUAAAUUAGGAAAAUCAAAAGUGGUAAUUUAACAAAUUUAUAAUUCAUUUUUACGACAAAUUAAGUAAAUCAAAAGUUAAUAUUUACUCUUAGUGAAAAAAAAAAACACAAAAAAAAUGGUAAAUUUAUAAAAAUAAUCCUACCCUCAAGUAUAAAAUACCAAAGCAAUAACGGAUAGGCAAUCAUAGAUGUUUGUCGCUAAUGGACGAGUGGUUGAUGUCAAUAGACAAUCAAUCAGUCGAUAGAAGUAGAUGGAUAAUCAAAUAGCUUAUCUGGUAGAUGCAUGGCAUCAUACUCGGGAAUAUUAUCGUUCAAAAUAUUCUUUCUCAAUUGCAGGUCCUUUUAGGAUUGGUGACGGGAUUUUUUAAAAGUUAAACAUUAAUUCUAGUCUUUAAUAAUUUUUUUUUUAUAUAUA
rnacentral:lncRNA from 1 species